rnacentral:lncRNA from 1 species
AUCGGUUGUCUGUCCCUGCUCUCUGCCUCGGGGCCCUGGGUCCUGGCCUUGUUUCCUGUGGAGUUCGGGUCUCCAUUUUCUCCAUUCUGAGGUGAAAGGCAGCGGUCUGCCUUCUAUUAUGUUUGUAAAACUCUAGAGUGUGGGCAGGUACUUGGACUGCUCUGACAUUGUAACAAAGGAUUUAAAGCAUGUGCGAGGCGACUUGGCUCUCUUAUCUUCCAAGGACAAAAACGAGAAGAAAAAGCAGCAUGAGGCACAAUGGUUAGACAUUCAGAAGGACUUCCGAGAAGGGAGGUGCAGUAAAUAUUAGAAGAGGUCUACAGAAGAGGUUAAACGACCACCAUCAUACUCUUCAGUAGGAGGAUGGGCAACAAAACUAGCCACUUCAAGAAAAGGCAACAGGGACUUGCACAGGAUGCACCCCACCUGCACAAACUCUCAGAUUGGGAAGGGGCAUUCAGGCAGCGGCGGUUCCCCCACCUUCAUCCAGCUUCCUAGCAUCUUCAGCUCAGGACCCGGACCAGCCCCCCGCCGCUCUCUGAGAGAUAGCUGCUGGGGACGGAGUGAUGUAUGGAACACAGAUAAAAUGUCAGCAGUUCUAAAUGGGUCCGGAGAUGCAGCCGUGGGGGGCGCGCGGGGUCCCACCCCCCCUCCCCGUGAGCCCCGCGGCCGGAGCCCAAAUGAGGUUUUGAAGAGGAGCCGGCGGGCGGGGCGGCGGCCGGGCGGGGCGGCGGGCGCUGAUGUAUGGCGGUUUCAUAACUUCCUCGGUAUUAAAGGCGGGUUCACGCGGA